UUGUCAUGUAGAUCUGGAUUAGUAGUGCAAUUUUCACCUGAGGUAGAUUGAUAUGCUGUACAAGUGAUGGAUGCCUAGGAUGCCUAAUUACUUAAUUAUUGUGCAGUUGCAUACUGUCAGAUCAUUUUCUGUAUAAAAUUUAGUUUCAAUCAAUAGAACAAUGUACAAUGUAGAUCCAGUAACAAAUGAGCAAUUCCAAUGCAACUUAUGACCAUCCAAAGAAGCCAUGGAAUUGAACCACCCUCUCCGAAUGCCAAGUCCCAAUUACUUGACAUCCAAACAGCAGAAUUCACGUUCAAUAUCAAUAUCAAUGUCCUGUGUGAUUUGGCAUUGCUCCAAUUCAAUACCAAGCCUCCCAAUGUCUACAUCCAAACGGACAACGUGUUUGGCAGUUCCAGGGAAUGGGAGUAGGAAUUUUAGAAGGGAGUUUAUUGGAGGGAUUAAACUUGGGAAGUGGACUAGUAGUCCCAAUCCCACGUUUGGUGCGUGCUGGGAGUUGCUUGGGAAAUUUGAGAUUUGUUACCAACCUGGCUGAACCAGACCUUGUAUCUAGGUCUGCAAUGGUAAGAGAAAUAAAAAUGAAAAUAAAAGAGGGGAAUAGAUCUGGAUUGAUGUGAAGAGAAAAACAACAAGAAACCAGGAUUUUUUUUUUGGCAUAGUCAGAUAAGAUGCACGCAAAAGAAUUAUGCUAUCCGGUUAGAUGAGACAAGCAGCACAGAGUUUCCAAGAAUUUGAUUGAAAGAAGCAGCCCACGUGAGCUUUCGUACAUGGCAUCACUUUUGCUGAUCGGGCUGUUAGGCUAGUGGCCGGAUUUACUGGAGGCAAAUGAUGCCGCUGCUUAUUUACCAAGAUAUUCCAGCGUAUUGGCUAAGAUUUUCGCAGGUUUCUUCCAUGCAGGACGUGCGCAACUGACGCUAACCUUUUUUUUCCCGUCAAUUCCCAUUCCCUGCUUGUAUUACCAGGUCACCCCAGGGAAGAGAUAUAGGGGAGUUGGCCUCCUUAAAUCCCCUUCCCACUCCCUUCUGAAUUCCCAUGCCCUCCAGCCAUACAAAGGAUUUUAAGUCCCAUACCCCAUCAAUUCCCAUUCCCCAGUUUUAAUUCCCACCAACCAAACAGGUUGGGAGUGUAAGUGAAAUAACGAUUCGCGAUAGAAAAAAAAGGUCCCGAACAGGUGCUGCAUCGCCCCCACCGCAUCGCCUCGAUUGGCACCGGCGUAGGCCACCCCGCCGCUCGACCUCGCCUCGCACUGGAGGCGACCAACACCAUCCUCCUCGCUCCCUCCCCUCCCCCAACCCGAUAUAGAUGCCUAACCCGCGGGAACGGGCAGGCGGCCGGCAGGCGAUGCGAGGCGCGGUGGCGGCGCGAGGAAGACAGGUAGAUCCGGGCGUGGCGUCGACCGAUCUGGCGGCUUGUUCCGGUGCCAGUGGCGUCCUGCUCAUCCAGAUAAGGAAAGAGAAGGGCCCGAGGGAGAGAGGAAACAGAGGAAGAAAGGAGAAGGAGAAGGGGCACACGCAGGGUGAGGGAGGCAGUCGCCGGUGAUGGUGGCUCCACUGACUGGCCGACGGGCUUGCUAGGCAAGGCUAAGGAGUACGCUAGCCUGAGAUUCGAUAGAGAGGGAAGAAGUUGUGGUGGCGGCGAAUUAUGCAACCAAUGUCUCUCACGACAUCUCUACUGGAGCCGCCUCUGCCUACUCUGGUGUGUUGCAGCUCCUUACUCUAGCCACGUGUUGCUUGCUCUCCCACUAGCCUCUGCCUCCUGUGGUCUCGAAGUUGAUGACACCCUGAUACAAAGCUCCCACAAUCAUCCGCUCCAUCUCAGCAAAAAACAUGUCCAGCUGCAGAAAAGGAGUUUGUAUCCAGCUUGACCUCCAUAGCAGGAAGAUUUUAGUAAUCGUUCUAUCAAUGUUCUAUUAAUGGAGAAGGGGGAGAGCAAUGGAAAUAACACCCCGUCGUGGUCCUAGUGCUUCUCUCCGUGGGUUCUCUACAGGUACGUACUAGACAACUACCCAUUGUUUUUGUUUUCUACUGACAGUUUGAUCGCUUCAUCAAUCCUUCUAGAGGGUCUUGACAGGAAGGACUGAGCAGCCACUGUGCUGGAGUAGAUUGUGUGACAGGUUUUUUCCUCUCUAUCCUACCCGUGAUUGGUUUCUUUGGUGAAGAAAGCAUCACUAUCUUUCAAUACAUCAUGGAUGAUCAACAUGUAUGUCUUCAUGGUACAAGAAUGAAGAUUAACUGUUCAAUCUAUUGAUUCAGAGUGAGACAAGGGUGAAACAGAAUAAGCUCAUUUUUGUGAUUUAUACAUGGUGGAAUUCCAGAAUAGAGGGUUGACUCAUACUCAUACUUCAAUUCGGCUUAUAGGGAACAAUCAUGAACCUUCGGCCUCCUUCAUAGAUGGUUUGAUUUCGGCUGAGAUACCUGAACCUUUGGUUGAGCCCUGGGUUAUGCUCUUAUGGAUUAAUUUAUGGUUCACGGUCCAUGUGGAGAAUACAAAGUAAAGUGUGCAUGUAUGAAAGAUGGAUUGUGUUCCAAAAGAUUUCCCAAAGAUUUUAAUGAGCAGACAUCACUUGAUGAUAGAGGCUUUCCUAUAUAUCAUAUAUCAUAGACAUGAUUUGGGUUACUAUGUGAGGAACAAGGGUACUGUUAAGCUGGAUAAUCGAUGGGUAGUGGCGCACUGCUUACAACUGCUUAAAAGAUUCUAAGUGCACAUUAAUGUUGAGUGGUGCAACAAGACAAAUUUGCUCAAAUAUUUGUUCCAGUAUCUCACUAAGGGCCAUGAUGUUGCUCGCAUAAGGUUUCAACCUAUGGUCGAAUGUUGAGCGUUUGUUGCCCUUGGUGUGGCAACUAGAAGAAAUGAAAUUUUAAAAUUUGUUGAGUGCAGAUAUCUUUCUGCUUGCGAAGCAUACUGCCAUAUGUUUGCUUUCAAUAUACAUGGUCGUGAGCCUGCAGUGGAGAGAUUGGUUGUGCACCUUCCUCGAGUCUUCAUAAGGAGUUACCUUGGAACCAGGAAAGUUGCUUUAAUUUUUGUUGAGAAGACGACGAAAAAUAAUGGAUACAAUUAUGGAGUAAAUAAAUUACUUUGGCUGAACAACCUACAACAAACUGACCCAUGCUUGUCAUACUACUAUCUUCUGUCAUUUUCAUGGUAUUUUCUAGCUCUUAGUCUGCAAGUGUUGCCAA